rnacentral:rRNA from 1 species
UAGGGAAUCUUCCGCAAUGGACGCAAGUCUGACGGAGCAACGCCGCGUGAGUGAAGAAGGAUUUCGGUUCGUAAAACUCUGUUGUUAGAGAAGAACAGCGCAUAGAGUAACUGUUAUGCGUGUGACGGUAUCUAACCAGAAAGCCACGGCUAACUACGUGCCAGCAGCCGCGGUAAUACGUAGGUGGCAAGCGUUGUCCGGAUUUAUUGGGCGUAAAGCGAGCGCAGGCGGUCAAUUAAGUCUGAUGUGAAAGCCCCCGGCUCAACCGGGGAGGGUCAUUGGAAACUGGUUGAAGUGAGUGCAGAAGAGGAGAGUGGAAGUACAUGUGUAGCGGUGAAAUGCGGAGAUAUAUGGAGGAACACCAGUGGCGAAGGCGACUCUCUGGUCUGUAACUGACGCUGAGGCUCGAAAGCGUGGGUAGCAAACAGG